rnacentral:rRNA from 1 species
UACGUAGGGUGCGAGCGUUGUCCGGAAUUAUUGGGCGUAAAGAGCUUGUAGGCGGUUUGUCGCGUCUGCCGUGAAAAUCCGGGGCUCAACCCCGGACUUGCGGUGGGUACGGGCAGACUAGAGUGAUGUAGGGGAGACUGGAAUUCCUGGUGUAGCGGUGAAAUGCGCAGAUAUCAGGAGGAACACCGAUGGCGAAGGCAGGUCUCUGGGCCGAUACUGACGCUGAGGAGCGAAAGCGUGGGGAGCGAACAGG